GACCAGCCCAACAACCCUAGGCCUCUGGACGUGGCCUUGACCUGGCCAAGAAGCUCUUCCCCUCAAAGUUCCUGAUACGCCCUGUAGGGGCAUCUCCAGUCACUCCCAGGCCUUUUCCAGGCCCGGAGAAGCCACGGGCCUGGGGGGCAGGGAGCUGGAGCCUGGAAACUUAGGGAGACAAGAGUGACUGCCGACUGGGAGGCAAGUAGGAGAGGCAGGGAUGGUUACACCCAUUUGGCAGAUGGACACACUGAGGCUUGGGAAGGACGAAGUCUCCACAGAGACCUGCCCCGUGGCUUCCCGGUGCCCCGCGACUUCCUGGUGCCUCGCGUCUGUGACAUGGAGUCAGGCUGUCUCACCCAAGUCAGUCGAUGAACCCGGCCUGUGCAGCCCCCAUGUGGCACACGGAAAGGGGGGUCGUGAGCCCCGUCGCAGGCCUCGCUCCAGGAAUAGAAGGCAGCAGCUGCUGCUGAGCUGAGCAUCGCCAGGCAAGGACCACCUCCGCACCCUGGCAGACGUGCCAAUGUGUCCCUGCCAGCACCUCGGCCCUCCAGGCGCACCCCGCCCAAGCCCCAGCCGGCGCUGUAGGGUGCAGGCCCCUGGAAGAGACAACGAAGCACCAAGAGCCAGCUUCCGCAUGAUUAAACUUUUUUUUAAUGCAAGAAAAGAAGUUGUCUUCGGUUGCUUUUUCUUCCCACGAGAAAGUGUGGAUGCGCCACGGCACCUUGACAGUGACUUUUCAACCAGGAGGCUGCCCCCGCCCUCACCGGACGCUGCAUGGAGCGGUGGGCCCGAGCCAGCUGCAGGGGCAAGGUCAAUGCUGGUGACUCAGACCCAGCGGAGGCCCAGAGAGCAGCACCGGAGGGUGGGGGUAGGGUGUCGGAAGAGGUCAGAUGGAGGGGUCCCUGAGACCUACCUGGGGAGUGCCUGGUGGGAAGCCUGCCCCUCCCUGCCCCCCACCAGUGUGGGGACACCAGCGAGUGCAGCCAGGACCCCCCGAGGAUGUGCUGGCAAACUGAUCUGGUGGUUUGCAGCCUCGGGCCCCUCACUGCUCCCCUGGAGGGAGGUUACUCUAAGGGCAUCGGAGACAACACUGCCCUCCUCCACUCAUGGGAGGAAGGAGGGCAGGAGAUAGGAAAUCACUUCCAUGAGAAACGAAGGGGCUCCGAGGAGGGGAGGGGCUGGCUCAUCCCGGGUCUCUGCGGUCUGGACAUGAGGCCCGGGCUGGAACACUCCGUCAGAGCCCGUCACCCAACCAAGGUGGGGGGAAGGAGGCAAGCCAGAAUGUUCCAGGAGGCAAGCGGAAGGGAGAAGUGGGAAAU